CGUUAAAGCUUUAUUACAAUUUAACACCAAUUCCAUAAAUUAAUCAAAACCCUUAUCCCGUACUGAGUGACUUCAUAAAAUUAUGAAGAGCCAUAUGCUAGAACUAGUAAUAAGAAGAAGACCUUCUCCAAAAUGUAUGUAUAAGCCAAAAUGAACUACUCAUUGGCACUUACCGCCUAUGAACCCACAGUAGUAACUCAUCAAGAAAAACCUACUGUCCACAGCGUUAAUCUUACACUAGAACAUUCCUGGAAAGAUUAAAAGAAAAGGAAGGAACUCGGCAAAUAAUAACCCCGCCUGUUUACCAAAAACAUCGCCUCCUGAUACUAACUAUAGGAGGUCCAGCCUGCCCAGUGACAAAGUUAAACGGCCGCGGUACCCUAACCGUGCAAAGGUAGCGCAAUCACUUGUUCUUUAAAUGAGGACUAGUAUGAAUGGCAUCACGAGGGUUAUACUGUCUCCCUGAUCUAAUCAAUGAAACUGAUCUUCCCGUGAAGAAGCGGGAAUAAGAAUAUAAGACGAGAAGACCCCAUGGAGCUUCAAACUCAACAUCAACUGCCCAUUACAUAAAACCUAUUAACCAUGCAGACCUGAUUGUUAGUUUUCGGUUGGGGUGACCGCGGAGUAAAACAAAACCUCCACGAUGAACGGGGUUAACCCCCUAAUCCAAGAGCCACAGCUCUAAGAAUCAACAAACUGACAAAAUUUGACCCAAAUUUUUUGAUCAACGGACCAAGUUACCCUGGGGAUAACAGCGCAAUCCAUUUCAAGAGCUCAUAUCGACAAAUGGGUUUACGACCUCGAUGUUGGAUCAGGGUAUCCCAGUGGCGCAGCCGCUACUAACGGUUCGUUUGUUCAACGAUUAAA
rnacentral:rRNA from 1 species